GACGGAGGAUGCAAGUGUUAUCCGGAAUCACUGGGCGUAAAGCGUCUGUAGGUGGUCAAAUAAGUCAACUGUUAAAUCUUGAGGCUCAACCUCAAAAUCGCAGUCGAAACUAUUCGACUAGAGUAUAGUAGGGGUAAAGGGAAUUUCCAGUGGAGCGGUGAAAUGCGUAGAGAUUGGAAAGAACACCGAUGGCGAAGGCACUCUGCUGGGCCGACACUGACACUGAGAGACGAAAGCUAGGGGAGCGAAUGGG
rnacentral:rRNA from 1 species